AGAGUUUGAUCCUGGCUCAGAUUGAACGCUGGCGGCAUGCCUUACACAUGCAAGUCGAACGGUAACGCGGGGGCAACCCUGGCGACGAGUGGCGAACGGGUGAGUAGCGCAUCGGAACGUGCCCAAUAGUGGGGGAUAGCUCGGCGAAAGCCGGAUUAAUACCGCAUACGACCCACGGGUGAAAGCGGGGGACCGCAAGGCCUCGCGCUAUUGGAGCGGCCGAUGCCCGAUUAGCUAGUUGGUGAGGUAAUGGCCCACCAAGGCGACGAUCGGUAGCUGGUCUGAGAGGACGACCAGCCACACUGGGACUGAGACACGGCCCAGACUCCUACGGGAGGCAGCAGUGGGGAAUUUUGGACAAUGGGGGAAACCCUGAUCCAGCCAUGCCGCGUGCGGGAAGAAGGCCUUCGGGUUGUAAACCGCUUUUGGCAGGAACGAAACGGCGCAGGCGAAUACCUUGCGCUAAUGACGGUACCUGCAGAAUAAGCACCGGCUAACUACGUGCCAGCAGCCGCGGUAAUACGUAGGGUGCAAGCGUUAAUCGGAAUUACUGGGCGUAAAGCGUACGCAGGCGGCUGUGCAAGACAGAUGUGAAAUCCCCGGGCCCAACCUGGGAACUGCAUUUGUGACUGCACGGCUAAAGUCCGUAAGAGGGGGGUGGAAUUCCACGUGUAGCAGUGAAAUGCGUAGAGAUGUGGAGGAACACCGAUGGCGAAGGCAGCCCCCUGGGAUGAGACUGACGCUCAUGUACGAAAGCGUGGGGAGCAAAC
rnacentral:rRNA from 1 species